AUGCCCCAUUCGGACCUCAUCUCCUGGCUUGAAGAAAAGGAAGAGUGGUUGGGCCAGAAAAGAGAGGCAGAUGGGCUUCUGAUGCUCCAAUCAGACCUCAUCUCCUGGCCUGAAGAAAAGGAAGAACUGCUGGUCCAGAAGGAAGUGGCAGAAGGGCCUCUGGUGUCCCAAUUAGACCUCACCUGGUUUGAAGAAAAAGAAGAGUUGUUGGUUCAGAAGAAAAGGACAGGUGAUGGACAGGACAAUGAGAAUUACCAGGCGCCAUAUAUAGCGUUGGCAGAAACAACCACACGUGAUACGGGGAAAGAAAUGUUUGGAAAUCAAAGAGAAAGGCACAAGGCAAACCGAUCAAAGCCUAGGCAGAAGAGGCAAUCUGCUUCCCAGAGGGCUGAGGUCCAUGAACUCCUGAUCCCUCCAGAAGACUGUAAAGAUAAUAAGAAUAUUACGUGUCCAGUGUGUGAGAAAAUAUUCCAGUAUAGAUCACAGUUAAAUACACAUAGCAGAAGUCACACAGGGGAGAAAACCGUACAAAUGCACAGAGUGUGGGAAGCGCUUCAGUACAAGCAGUUCCCUUACUGCACAUGGAAGAACCCACACAG
rnacentral:lncRNA from 1 species